rnacentral:rRNA from 1 species
GUCAACGGUAAUAGGAGCAGGGAAACGCCCAAACCCAUUCCGAACUUGGAAGCUAAGCCUGCUUACGAUAUGUGUGUACUGGCUUCGGCCGGGAAAUCAUAUUGCUGUUGACA